rnacentral:lncRNA from 1 species
GGAAGGAGGCUCCAUUCAGCAAAGAGGAACUGGAUCUAGCCAAAUUCGGUCAGCUGACAUUCAUCCAUGCUUUAAGUUUGAUGUGUUGCACCAAAAUUAAUUGAUAAAAUCUCUAGCUUAUGAAAUUAUUACUUUAUUAAUUAUCUAGAAAUGUUUUAAUAAUAACUCAUGUUAUUCCCCUUUCCUCUCUUUACCAGAACAAAGAACAUGUGGGU